rnacentral:rRNA from 1 species
AGGUACGCUCAAGUCGACUGGUUAUUAGCCAAUCUCCCUUGUUCCCUUGCGAAAGAGCUUUACAACCCUAAGGCCUUCUUCGCUCACACGGCGUCGCAUCAUCAGGCUUUCGCCCAUUGUG